GAGUUAUUUCUUUAUUCCAUCAGUAGUGUUUUAGUUCCUCGAAAGGAAAAUAUCCGUAUAGUACAGGGAACAAUUAAUUUACCGGUAUGUUUCCUUUUUGAGCAGUAUUUUAUCCAUAAUCUGUAACCAAAAUAUCUUAAAUAACAGUAUUUUAAAAUUUAUAAAGUACUACAUGUUUAUAUAAACUACUAUAUAUACUACUACUUCUGUAUAUAUAUAAAUUUGAAAAAGAAAAGGAUUUUUUUUUGUCCAAAAAAACUCAAGAUUAAUAAUUUAUCUAGCCUUGUCCCUUGCUUUGUAUUGUAUGGUAGUGUUAGGUCAUAUGUUAUUCUUUACUGUACAGACACUUAAGUAUUUUGUGCUUAUAACGUUAUGAUCAAUUAUAUAUGUGUGUGUAUUGUUUGCAAACCCAUUUUGAUAAAUGGUUGAGAUUAGUACAUGAAAUACAGGAUUAGUGUAUGUCUUGAUUUUAUUAAAUGAUUGAUUCUCUUAGUUAAUGUAGAAAAAAGAAUUCUCGUUUUGGAAUAUUUCAUUUAAAAACCAGAUACUGUAGUACACUUUGAUUACAACAUGAACAACACUUAUACAGUUAUGGUAUGAGACAUUAAGAAUUAGAAUUAAAGGGGAAAGAUGGAUAUUUUUAUUUAAGCUCGGUGUUAUAUAUGUAUAAACUUUUUGCCUUCGUCUUAAUAACGUUAAUAGAAUGUUCAUUUAAGAUAAAAAGAUUCAAUAAAGAAUGUGUUAUAGAUUU
rnacentral:misc_RNA from 1 species